rnacentral:rRNA from 1 species
AGAGUUUGAUCAUGGCUCAGAACGAACGCUGGCGGCGUGCUUAAUACAUGCAAGUCGAACGUGAAAUCCGCUUUCGGGCGGAGAGUAAAGUGGCGCACGGGUGAGUAACGCGUGGAUAAUCUACCCUGAGGCCCGGGAUAACUCGCCGAAAGGCGGGCUAAUACCGGAUAAUGUCCCAUUACCCAAGUAAUGUGACCAUAGGAGGCCCUGCUUCCGCCACAGGAUGAGUCCGCGUACCAUUAGCUAGUUGGUAGGGUAAUGGCCUACCAAGGCUACGAUGGUUAGCUGGUCUGAGAGGACGAUCAGCCACACUGGAACUGAGACACGGUCCAGACUCCUACGGGAGGCAGCAGUAGGGAAUAUUGCGCAAUGGGGGAAACCCUGACGCAGCGACGCCGCGUGAGCGAUGAAGGCCUUCGGGUCGUAAAGCUCUGUCAGGUGGGAAGAACCCUCCGUCGAUGAAUAAUCGGCGGAGCUGACGGUACCACCAGAGGAAGCACCGGCUAACUCCGUGCCAGCAGCCGCGGUAACACGGAGGGUGCAAGCGUUGUUCGGAAUCACUGGGCGUAAAGGACGCGCAGGCGGCCCGGUAAGUCGGAAGUGAAAUCCGUCGGCUCAACCGACGAACGGCUUCCGAUACUGCCGGGCUUGAGUACGGGAGAGGAAAGCGGAAUUCCCAGUGUAGAGGUGAAAUUCGUAGAUAUUGGGAAGAACACCGGUGGCGAAGGCGGCUUUCUGGACCGAUACUGACGCUGAGGCGCGAAAGCGUGGGGAGCAAACAGGAUUAGAUACCCUGGUAGUCCACGCUGUAAACGGUGAGUACUAGGUGUAGGGGGUACCGACCCCCCCUGUGCCGCAGCUAACGCACUAAGUACUCCGCCUGGGGACUACGGCCGCAAGGCUAAAACUCAAAGGAAUUGACGGGGACCCGCACAAGCGGUGGAGCAUGUGGUUUAAUUCGAAGCAACGCGAG